UCCAGAAUGUGAAGGGAGAGGAACUCAGCUCAGCUCAUUUCAGCCAUUGCCAUCAGAUACCAAAGGAAGCCGGACCUGACUGUGAUUGGAGAAGAGCGGAUGCCCUAAAAUGUCCUCCCAUUGAGAAGUAAUUAAAAACUAUUUUUCAGGCCGGGCGCAGUGGCUCACGCCUGUAAUCUCAGCACUUUGGGAGGCCGAGGCGGGCGGAUCAUGAGGUCAGGAGAUGGAGACCAUCCUGCCUAACAAGAUUUCUCCAAAAGACUCUUUAAAUCUCCUACCUGGAAGGUGAGGCUCUGGCUGCCACAGUUCCAGGGCCCAGUGGAGAUAGAAAGCCAGAAGUCUCCAUAUUCAAGACUAAGAAUGAGGAGAAAAAAUAGGAAGGAGGAUGGCUGGAGAUGUAAAUUCAACAAGUAUUGCAAGAGGCUAGGAGAUUGGAGAAAAUAGUGGUGCCAUGGGAGCAUCAGAGGAGUCAAGGAGGACCAGAUCAGAGUUUGGUUGCACUGACUAGAAGGAAGCACGGGGCAAGGACUGGCUCACUCUCUGAAGGAAAGCGGUGGUUGCAGGGCCAUUGUUCCGAGGGACACAGGGUUUGGAAAGAGCAGGGGACCAACGGUGUCAGAAGGAAGAAUUGUCAUGUCAGGAGAAGGCUUCUGGAGAAUAUUGGUCUUGGGAGACCAGAUUUUAAGCUUCAUACAACAGUUUUAUAAAAAGCAUUAUUCAGGUACAAUUGGCAUAAAGUGCACAUAUUUUAACUGUACAAUUUGUUAGGUUUUAAUUUAGGUAUGUACCCAUGAACCAUCACCACAAUCAAGACGGUGAACACAUCCAUCACUCCUCAAAGUUUCCUUGUUCCUCUUUAUAAUCCGGCCCUCUUGCCAUCCCCAUCCUCUACACCCCAAGCAACCACUGAUCUGCUGUCACUAUUGAUGAGUUUGCAUUUUCUAGAUUUAUAUAAUGGAAUCAUACAGCAUAUACUUUUUUUCGGGCUUCUUUCACUUAGCAUAAUUAUUUUGAUAUUCUUAUAUACUCCGUAUCAAUGUUCA